GUCAAUCUAACACAGAAUCACAGUGCGACUCUUUCUUGUUGAACACUCUUCACCCAAGAAAGUAGCCACCAGUUUCUAGCUGGCUUUCUAUCAACCCUUUGAUCCUUGUAGACAAUCGGCAGCCUAACACAAAAUCAAAGUACGACUCUUUCUUGUUGAGACCUCUCACCCAAGAAAGUAGCCACCAGUUUCUAGCUGGAUUUCUAGCGUUCGUUUGUUUCAAAGAUUUAUUACAGAAUGAAUAAAAGAAGUAAAACAAAAGGGUCUUCAAUCUUUAUGAAUGUUGCUCCUCACGAAUCUGGAUAUUCAAGGAAUGUUCAUGAGCACAUUAUCAUUUCUCUUGGAUUGUCAACAAACUGUAUUGUAAUCUGUAAUCACAAUUAUGAAGUUGUUAGUUUGUUGUUAUGAACAGUUGAGAGCAUUAUGAGAAAUUAUGAAAGUUAUGAAUUGUUAUAUGAAUAAAGAUUGAAAGACAGUUUAUAUAGUUUCUGAAAAACCAACUACGAAAUCGAUUUCCCAAUCGAUUUUGUAAAGUUAUAAAAGGUGCUAAAUCGAUUUGCCAAUCGAUUAUCGCGAGUCUUGUUUUUCUUUAAUCUUGAAACUAUACAAGCUAAUCGAUUUACCAAUCGAUUCUUUAAAAGCAACACUUUUCAGUAGAACAUGUCCAGACUUGUAUAAAUCGAUUGCCUAAUCGAUUUCUGGGAAACUGUUUCAAUAAAAGUAUUUCAAUCGAUUUCUCAAUCGAUUUGCCAAAUCUCAGAGUUCACUGUGUUUUCAAAAAGUUUAUUUCAAUCGAUUUGCCAAUCGAUUGUGUUCAAAACAGUGGCUCAGUUUUUGAUGUCAAUCGAUUCGCCAAUCGAUUUAAUUCAAAACAGUGACUCAGUUAUUUGAUGUCAAUCGACUUGUCAAUCGCUUUGGUAGCAUGUUCCUGAAAAGAUUUUACCUGGUGUUUAGUUCAAUCGAUUUCCCAAUCGAUUGCAACCAAACUUUAACAGAAUUGAACAACUCAACAAUAGAUUGUCCAAUCGAUUGUAUUUGUCACAGGUGAGGUCAUUUUUCAAAUGAUACUUUGUCAAUCGAUUUGCCAAUCGAUUUCCUCAGCACUGGAGUGCCACUGUGACUCAUCCAAUCGAUUUACCAAUCGAUGUUUUACCAUCAGGUUUGAUUUGUGAAAUGUUCAAUCGAUUUGCCAAUCGAUUACGCUUUAAAUCAGAGGCUACUGACUUGUGCAGUUUUCAUUUUUAAUUAAGCUAAUUGAUUGCCUAAUCGAUUGCACAUUUACAAACACUUAAGAUUUCCUUACACCCUUGUUAUGAAAUCGAUUUCCCAAUCGAUUUACAUAGUCAGAAUUCAACUUUUGUUGAUUUCUUGUGUUCCAAGCAAU
rnacentral:lncRNA from 1 species